CGUGUAGGCGGUCAGGUAAGUGGAAUGUGAAAUGCCCCGGCUCACCCGGGGACCGGCAUCCCAAACUGCCUGGCUUGAGUAUGGGAGAGGAUGGAGGAAUUCCUGGUGUAGCGGUGAAAUGCGUAGAUAUCAGGAGGAACACCGGUGGCGAAGGCGUCCAUCUGGCCCAAUACUGACGCUGAGGCGCGAAAGCUAGGGGGAACAAACGG
rnacentral:rRNA from 1 species